AUUUAUAUAGUUUAAACAAAAACAUUACAUUUUCAAUGUAAAUUUAGAAUUAAUUUCUUAUAAAUU
rnacentral:tRNA from 1 species